AUGAUACAUGACAAUAGCUAAUCAAUUGUCUUUUGCACCUAAAGAAUUAUCUUUCUAUGGUCUGUUGGCUAUUUCAGAACUUUGAAAAUGUAAUGGUCAAUUCAUUAGAAAGAAACAGUA
rnacentral:snoRNA from 1 species